rnacentral:rRNA from 1 species
AACGAACGCUGGCGGCGUGGAUAAGACAUGCAAGUCGAACGGGACAGACCGAGUAGCAAUAUUUGGAAUGUUCAGUGGCGAACGGGUGCGUAACACGUGGAUAACAUUCCGGAAAGCGGGGAAUAGCCCAGGGAAACUUGGAUUAAUACCGCAUGUGGCCGCAAGGCUAAAGACGGGGACCGCAAGGCCUGUCACUUUCCGAUUGGUCCGCGGCCUAUCAGCUAGUUGGCGGGGUAAUGGCCCACCAAGGCUACGACGGGUAGCUGGUCUUCGAGGACGACCGGCCACACUGGAACUGAGACACGGUCCAGACACCUACGGGUGGCAGCAGUCGAGAAUCUUUCACAUGGGGGCAACCCUGAUGGAGCGACGCCGCGUGAGGAUAAGGUCUUCGGAUUGUAAACUCCUGUCAUGCGAGAACAAGGUACUCAGGCUACUAACCUGAUUGUUUGAUGGUACCGCAAGAGGAAGAGACAGCUAACUCUGUGCCAGCAGCCGCCGUAAAAC